GGGUGAGUAACACGUAUGCAACCUGCCCCUGUCAGGGGGACAACCCGCCGAAAGGCGGGCUAAACCCGCGUACAUGCCACCGGGGCAUCCCGGAGGCAGGAAAGGCUUCGGCCGGACAGGGAUGGGCAUGCGGCGCAUUAGGCAGUAGGCGGGGUAACGGCCCACCUAACCGACGAUGCGUAGGGGUUCUGAGAGGAAGGUCCCCCACACUGGUACUGAGACACGGACCAGACUCCUACGGGAGGCAGCAGUGAGGAAUAUUGGUCAAUGGUCGGGAGACUGAACCAGCCAAGCCGCGUGAGGGAUGAAGGUACAGAGUAUCGUAAACCCCUUUUGUCAGGGAACAAAGGCGGGGACGUGUCCCCGGAUGAGUGUACCUGAAGAAAAAGCAUCGGCUAACUCCGUGCCAGCAGCCGCGGUAAUACGGAGGAUGCGAGCGUUAUCCGGAUUUAUUGGGUUUAAAGGGUGCGCAGGCGGUCUGUUAAGUCAGCGGUCAAAGCCCGGGGCUCAACCCCGGCCCGCCGUUGAAACUGGCAGUCUCGAGUUGGAGAGAAGUAUGCGGAAUGCGCGGUGUAGCGGUGAAAUGCAUAGAUAUCGCGCAGAACUCCGAUUGCGAAGGCAGCAUGCCGGCUCCACACUGACGCUGAGGCACGAAAGCGUGGGUAUCGAACAGGAUUAGAUACCCUGGUAGUCCACGCAGUAAACGAUGAAUGCUGGCUGUCCGGG
rnacentral:rRNA from 1 species